CUGGUGGGAUGCUGAGGGAUCCGGACAGUUCCCUGGGAUUUCUGGGCUUUGGGAUCAUGGCAUCGAGACCUAAACGGGGCCCUAAAUGGCGACCAGGAGGGUGCAGGGGACACACAGUGGUGACACCAAAUCCUGCAGCUCCCUAGCAAGGGCAGAGACAUGGGAAGGACCAUCCAUCCCAUCACCCGGUGCCACCGGGAGAGCUCCUGACCCCGGGAAUUUGUCCCUUCCCCAAGUGGCCGUGGCAGCCCCAGGGGUCACACCGGUGUCCCCAACGCAGUGACCGGACCUGUCCCCUGCCACCCCCGCCCUCUGCGGCCACCCGGGGCCGGCUCCUGGCGAGUCCCCAGCGCGGGGAACUCCCGGCCAGGACGGCAGCGGCCAAGGGGAAGCUCGGGCCAAGUGUCCGCGUUUUUGUGCUGACGGGGAAACUUUUCCUUCGACGCUUCCACGGCAGGGAUGAGUCGGCAGCCGGGCUGAGCCCAGCGGGGCGCCGGGGGCCAGGAUCAUUCCCGRUUUUCCCAUUCCGAGCCCGAUCCCGGUGUUUCCCUGCCGCCGAGGCAGCCGUGGGCUGUGGGAAGGAGCAGCUCGCCGCCGUGCCUGGGCAGAGCUCGGCGCGUAGGAGUCCCCACCCGGAAGAGUUUGUCCGGCGGGGACGGGGAGGGAGGAAUCCGAUCCCUCCUUUUCCCAGGCUGGGAUCCCAGCGCUCUCGGCUCUCCGUGGCCUUGGCCGGCUCCCCUCUUUGCCGUGCCCCGCUCCGUCCCGCCGGGCAGCCGAGGGUCCCGCAGCAGCGAUUCCCGACAUCUCCUCUUUGUCUGCGGCUCGGAAAGAUUUUCAGCUCCGGGCUCGGAUUUCGGGCAGAAGGUGUCUGAUUUUCGGCGCCGUUUCCCGAGAUGCUAAUUCAGGACCCUGCGGCGGCAGCUGGAGCUUUACUGUGCCUUGGCCACCCCUCGCUGAGGCGGGAGGUGCCCGUGGUCCCCCGGAAUGCCCUCGGUUUUUCGCUUCUCGCCUUUUGUUCCUGCUGGGGAGUGCUGAUGCUUCGCCUCUCUGCGGCUUUUCCAGAGGCUCGGUGGCGCGGCCCUCGCGGAAUUCCGGCUCCUCGCCUCCCUUCCCACCUUCUU